GAAAGGUUGGCGAGCCCCACCCAACAUCUGCGGUGCUCAUGUGGCUUCCCAUGUCAAAAACUGGAAUACCUUUCCAGUACAAAGCCUCCAACAGCUUGGUGUCCAUAGCACCUAUUAAUAGGGAAAAAAAGAAGAUCCAAGGAUGGCUCAACGAUGAGAAAGUCAACGUUGGCUGGCUAGGUUCAUCAUGCAAUUGCAAUUGCAAUUCAGAGAAAAGGGAAAGAAAAUUAUACAAUUACUUAAUUCGAUUUGAUUUGCAGUGACAGAAGAAAUAGAAAGAGAGAGUGUUUUUAAGUAGGAAGAAGAGAUGGCUUACGACGAGUAUUAUCAAUACUUGUAGGAAUGGGAGGAGAGGAGAGCCAGGAAGUGGAGGAGGAGGAUGAAUUGGCGGAGUAGACGGCGGAUAAAACAUACAAGGAAGAGAA